UGGGGAAUAUUGCACAAUGGGCGCAAGCCUGAUGCAGCCAUGCCGCGUGUAUGAAGAAGGCCUUCGGGUUGUAAAGUACUUUCAGCGGGGAGGAAGGUGUUGAGGUUAAUAACCUCAGCAAUUGACGUUACCCGCAGAAGAAGCACCGGCUAACUCCGUGCCAGCAGCCGCGGUAAUACGGAGGGUGCAAGCGUUAAUCGGAAUUACUGGGCGUAAAGCGCACGCAGGCGGUCUGUCAAGUCGGAUGUGAAAUCCCCGGGCUCAACCUGGGAACUGCAUUCGAAACUGGCAGGCUAGAGUCUUGUAGAGGGGGGUAGAAUUCCAGGUGUAGCGGUGAAAUGCGUAGAGAUCUGGAGGAAUACCGGUGGCGAAGGCGGCCCCCUGGGCAAAGACUGACG
rnacentral:rRNA from 1 species